UACGAAGGGGGCUAGCGUUGCUCGGAAUCACUGGGCGUAAAGGGUGCGUAGGCGGGUCUUAAGUCAGGGGUGAAAUCCUGGAGCUCAACUCCAGAACUGCCUUUGAUACUGAAGAUCUUGAGUUCGGGAGAGGUGAGUGGAACUGCGAGUGUAGAGGUGAAAUUCGUAGAUAUUCGCAAGAACACCAGUGGCGAAGGCGCUCACUGGCCCGAUACUGACGCUGAGGCACGAAAGCGUGGGGAGCAACAGG
rnacentral:rRNA from 1 species